rnacentral:rRNA from 1 species
UACGUAGGGUGCAAGCGUUGUCCGGAAUUAUUUGGGCGUAAAGAGCUUUGUAGGCGGUUUGUCGCGUCUGCUGUGAAAUUUUCGGGGCUCAACCCCGAACUUGCAGUGGGUACGGGCAGACUAGAGUGUGGUAGGGGAGACUGGAAUUCCUGGUGUAGCGGUGAAAUGCGCAGAUAUCAGGAGGAACACCGAUGGCGAAGGCAGGUCUCUGGGCCACUACUGACGCUGAGAAGCGAAAGCAUGGGGGAGCGAACAGG